rnacentral:rRNA from 1 species
AUGAAGCCUCUCGCCGCUCUGCUCGUCUCCAGCCUCCACAUCCACUGCCUCUGCCUGCUACUCCGGGGAGCACUCGCCACGGCGCCGGCGCCGUCCGCCCACCACCACCCGCAGGCGCCGGCAGCCCACCACGAGUACAACGCCUCCGCGGCGCGGUGCGCGGGCUGCGGCGGCGGGGACACCGGCGCGGCGCUGGGCGGGCUGGGCGCGUGGGCGGAGGCGGCGGAGUUCCUCUACUACCACAACGCGGUGCGGAUGGCGCGUUGGGAGCUGCCGCUGGCGUGGUCGCCGCGGCUCGAGUCGUACGCGCGGUCGUGGGCGGCGCAGCGCCGGGGCGACUGCGCGCUGCGGCACUCGUUCCCAGAGGGCCAGUUCGCGCUGGGCGAGAACAUCUUCUGGGGCGGCGCGGGCGCCGCGUGGCGGCCCGGGGACGCCGUCAAGGACUGGGCGGCGGAGGGCGUGGACUACUCGUACGCCGCCAACGCGUGCGCGCCGGGCCGGGAGUGCGGCCACUACACGCAGAUCGUGUGGCGCCGCACCGCCUACGUCGGCUGCGCGCGCGUCGUUUGCGACGACGGCGGCGUCUUCAUGACGUGCAACUACUACCCGCCGGGGAACGUCGUCGGGGAGCGGCCCUACUGA